rnacentral:sRNA from 1 species
AGAAUGAAAGAACAGGAGAGAGGUUAAAGAAACUAAUCUAGGCAUGGUGGACAUGAUGAUACAGCGCCAUGUGCAAUUUUGAAAAGUAUGGAUAGUUUUAGCUUUCUCCAACACCCAGUCCACCAGAGGAGCUUAGAGAUUCUGCAGAGAUGCAAGGAAGAGAAGUACAGUAUAACCCGGAAAAAUCCCAGAACACCUCUUUCUGAUCUCCAGGGCAUGAAUGCUCUAAAUGAAAAAAACCAACAUGAUACAUUUGAUAUUGCCUGGAAUGGCAGAACUGGGAUUCGCCAGAGCAGACUAUCAAGUGGCACCUCCUUGCUUGAUAAAGAUGGAAUAUUUGCUAAUUCAACUAGCAGCAAACUCCUGGAGAGAGCCCAUGGAAUUCUCACGAGAAACAAAAAUUUCAAAUCCAAGCCUGCCCUUCCAAAGGCAUCAUUAAGCAAGCUAAUGGAAACACUUGGUCAAGCAGAACCAUAUUUUGUAAAAUGCAUUCGCUCUAAUGCUGAAAAGCUGCCCUUAAGGUUCAAUGAUGUCUUGGU